rnacentral:rRNA from 1 species
GAUUGAAAGCUGGCGUCUUCGGCGUCCGCAUUGUAAUCUCAAGAAGUGUUUUCCGUUUCGGACCACGCCUAAGUCUCUUGGAAAAGAGCAUCAUAGAGGGUGAUAAUCCCGUACAUGGCAUGGAGCGCCCGAGACUUUGUGAUACGCUUUCUAAGAGUCGAGUUGUUUGGGAAUGCAUCUCAAAAUGGGUGGUAAAUGCCAUCUAAGGCUAAAUAUUGGGGAGAGACCGAUAGCGAACAAGUACAGUGAUGGAAAGAUGAAAAGAACUUUGAAAAGAGAGUUAAACAGUACGUGAGAUUGCCAAAAGGGAAGGGUAGGAGGUCAGAGAUGCGUUCUGGGAUUCAGCCUUGCUUUUGCUUGGUGUUUUUCCCAGAUGGCAGGCCAACGUCGGUUUUGGGCGCUGGAGAAGGGUGGAAGGAAUGUGGCACCUCUCGGGGUGUGUUAUAGCCUUCUACUGGAUACAGUGACCGAGACCGAGGACAGCAGCGUACUCGCAAGAGCGGGCCUUCGGGCACCUUUACGCUUAGGGCGUUGGCAUAAUGGCCCUCUACCACCCGUCUUG